rnacentral:lncRNA from 1 species
GUUCACGAGCAGCCAAGGCCUUAUCAAGAGUCAGAUGCUUACUACGAGGACUCGAUUUCAAAACCUACAUCCUCUUCUUCACCCUCGUCCCCUUACUCAUCUUCGGAGCCUACCUCCACGGCCAGAAGCUCACCUACUUCUUGAGACCCCUCUGGCAAUCACCUCCCAAACCCUUCCAAACCAUCCCCCACUACCACCACGUCAACGUCUCCAUGCAAACCCUCUGCGCCCUCCACGGCUGGAGCCACCGCGACUCUCCUCGACGCGUCUUCGACGCCGUGCUCUUCAGCAACGAGGUCGACAUGCUCACCAUCCGCUGGAAAGAGCUCCACCCUUACGUGACCCAGUUCGUAAUUCUCGAAUCCAACUCCACCUUCACCGGUUUGCCUAAACCGCUGGUUUUCGCCGCGAACCGGGAAAAUUUCGGUUUCGUCGAGCCGAGGCUGACGUACGGGAGCAUCGGAGGGAGGUUCAGGAGAGGAGAGAACCCUUUUGUCGAAGAAGCUUACCAGAGGAUCGCGUUGGAUCAGCUGAUAAGACUCGCGGGGAUUCAAGAAGACGAUCUUUUGAUAAUGUCUGACGUGGACGAGAUCCCUAGCUCACAUACCAUCAACCUCCUUAGAUGGUGCGAUGGUUACCCGCCGGUUCUUCAUCUUCAGUUAAAAAACUACUUGUACUCGUUUGAGUAUUACGUGGACAGCAAGAGCUGGAGAGGUUCUGUUCAUCGGUACAUCCCCGGGAAGACGCGGUACGCUCAUUUCCGACAAGGGGACGUUCUUUUGGCGGACUCUGGUUGGCACUGCAGUUUCUGUUUCAGACGCAUUAGCGAGUUUGUGUUCAAGAUGAAAGCGUAUAGUCACAAUGACCGUGUUAGGUUCUCUCAUUAUUUAAAUCCGAAAAGGAUUCAAGAUGUGAUAUGUAGAGGGACUGAUCUGUUUGAUAUGAUUCCUGAGGAGUAUACGUUUAGGGAAAUUAUUGGGAAGCUGGGUCCGAUCCCGAGGUCUUACUCGGCUGUUCAUCUACCAAGUUAUCUGAUUGAAAAAGCUGAGAGUUAUAAGUACUUGUUACCUGGGAACUGCGUAAGGGAAAGUGGGUGAUAAGGGCUUGCGCUUAUCAGGCUUUUGUAGUUUGUUAGGUAAAUGUGGUUUAUUAUCAGCAGAGGGAGUGUGGAAACAGAGGAUGGUACAGUUUAUUGUGAGGGUAUAUAACCUUGUCUGCUUAUUAAUAUCGACUCAUGUUCCCAUGUUGUUUUUGGGGAAAUUUUGCUGGGAUAGUCUCUCUUUCUCUUCACUUCAAAACUCUAUUUCAUACUCUCUUUACUUGUUAGUCUGUACAAUUCACUAGUGAUUUCUUUACAUUAUCCUCAUAUUCUUUUUAAUCUUUAUUUUUAAAAAUUCAUUCAUGGUUUGUUAUCCUCUUGAUCCAAUUGUUAGUUGCUUUUAAGCCUUUUCUCCCUGAUAAUGGCGCUGUGCCUGCAAAACUUAAACCAAAUAAUUUGUAAAAUUCUUGUUAUUUAAGAAAAAGUUUGACAUUAUUGUGAAAGACAACCAUUUGUUGAGUUGUUGAUUUCUCUGUUAUAUGAACUAGGGUUCUUCAACGCGGGGUACUUGGGUGUUGUAUGUUCAUUCUCAAUAGAAAUGAUCUCAAAGUCAAUUGACUUUGCAAAGGAGUUCUUGUCACGUAUCCAUCAAACCCACUCGGUAAUGUGUUGACCAGACGUGAACUUUACCUUCUCGUUGACUUCAUCACUUCCAAGAACAUCAUCUCAUUAGCGAUGACAUUUACUCAGGCACAAUGUUCGGGUUUGAACAAUUCAUAAGUGUAAUAGAUGUAUUAAAAGAACAGAAGCUCAAAAACACCAAGGUUUCUAAAAGAGUCCAUGUCGUUUACCGCAUUUCCACGGAUCUGGGAUGUCCUCUCCGUGGGAGCCACAUGAGAGGUCAUGAGCAUAGUGAAGUGAAAUAUUAGCAUAGAGGCCCUACCUUGUUGUUAAAAAGAAGUUUACAUAAAAAGUCUUCAAAUUUGUAAUGUUAGCGAGAUACCACUACAUCUCUUGAGUUUUCUUUUGUUAUUAAUUACUAUUGUUUUAGGUUGGCGUUCUUUAGAAACAAAAUGUAGCUUUUGUUAAAUCUCUGCAGCCUUUGGUACGUGUAUAUAUAUACAUAAUAAGUCACCUAUUAUCCAAAAGAAAGAAACUAAAGUAGAUCAAAGCCCAUGAACGUAAUCUGCUCCUACCACCACGGACAUUAUAUACAUCAGUCUAGUGUGAUGAACACCGAGAAACAAGGCUAUAGUAUAUAUUGUACGAAGAAUAGUCACCGUUAAAUAUUGCUGAUGUGUUGCUCUUACGCCUUAGCCCUUAUGGCGGCAGCCUCAAGUAGAGCUGUCAAAUGGUCCAUCCAUCGCUCAAUUAGGCUUGGCUAGUUAAACCAUAGGCAGUAAUGGAUGAUCUAUAAUAGACAAUGAUCCAAACAAAUGCUCAAAAUCCAUAGAGAUCAUGUCUAAAUGGGCACUCCAUAGACUACCCAAUAGAAUUUAUAACUAUUUAUUUAUAAUUUUUAAUCGAAACUUUUAAAAUUAUAAUUUUUCUCAAAAAUUACAAAACUACUUUCUCAACAAAAUUAUAAAACUUUGUUUUUCUACGAAAACCGUAAAAUUUUGUUUUACUGCUAAAACCCAUAAAAUCUCAUUUUCCCACCAAAAUCGAGAAAUUUUGUUUUCCCACCAAAAUUGAGAAACUAUGUUUUCCUGUCAAGACCGAAAAAUCACCUUUUCCCAUCAAAACCAAGAAAUUAUAUUUUUCGCAAAACCGGAAAAUCAUGUUUUCUCGCCAAAACCGAGAAACUAUGUUUUCCCGCCAAAACCGAGAAAUCACAUUUUCCCACGAAAACAAAUAAAUUAUAUUUCCGCAAAACAGGAAAAUCAUGUUUUUGGCCAAAACCAUAAAAUCAUGUUUUCCCACCAAAACCGGAAAAUCAUGUUUUUCCGCCGAAACCGAGAAAUCAUUUUUUCCGCCAAAAACUGAGAAAUUAUAUUUUCUGCAAAACCAUAAAAUCUUGUUUUUCGCCAAAACCGUGUAAUCGUGUUUUCUUGUAAAAUUAAAAAAAUUACGUUUUCUCACAAAAAAAAUUGGAAAUUAUGUUUUCCCGCCAAAAUCGAAAAUUAUAUUUUCCGCAAAAACUGAAAAAUCAUGUUUUUCACCAAAACCGUGAUAUCAUGUUUUCUUGUAAAAUUAAAAAAAUAUGUUUUCCCAAAAUAAAACCGGAAAUUACAGUUUCCCGUCAAACGCGUAAAAUUAUAUUUUCCCAUUAAAAUUUUAAAUUUAUGUUUUCUCGCCAAAAUUGUUAAUUUUCUCAUCAAAGUAGUGAAAUUACGUUUUACGCUAAAACAAUAUUUCUUGCUAAAAUUGUAAACCUAUAUUUUUAUCAAAAUCAUAAAACUAUAUUUUUAAAAGACCCAUGGACACCCAUUGUCUAUUUGGUCUUUGUUCAAUUGGACUAUGGACCGCCCAAAGUGAAUUGGACUGGGCUAGCCCAUGGACGACCUACCCAGUUGACACCUCUAGCCUCGGGGCUAGCUAAACGAUCCUCGACGCAUCUAGAAGCAGCAACGUACGUGAUCUUGGUGCGGUGAACGAAAGCGCGGCUGCUUUUGAAUGGAGGUUGAAGCGUUUGGACUUGGAAACAGAUUCUUCAAGAGAAGUGAUCCAUACUCGAAGCCAAAGAGGCGAACAUAUAUAGAUCCUUCAUUCGUGAAGUGAGGUUGGUGAGUACGUACUUAAUUUGGUGAGUUGUAUUUUUUAUCAGCGGUCUAAGACAUAAGGCAUGAAAAGGCUUUUAUAUGUCCUAUAUAUGCUCUUAAACUUCAUGUUAAAUUUCUCAUUCGUUUGACGUAAAUGAAAUUUUUGAAUCAACAAGAGGGAUUAGAAUGACAAGCAAGCAUGAUAAAAUGAGGUCCACAGUCAGUACAUAGGGUAACAUUUAUAACACGUCAACAAGACUUACAAACAUCGGUAUAGUUACAUUCUUUUUUGUUUUUAUUUGAUAACCAGUUACAUUCUUUUAAAUUUUCUAUUUAUAGUUUUGCAUGUGGACUUGAUUAGGCUGGAAAGUUGACUAAACCAUAUUUUCAUGCAAAUUUGAACGAAGAAUAUAAUACAAGCUUUACAAGUUAUAUGAUCUGAAUAAUUCUCAAUAUAUUCUUCAUUUCACACUUCCAGUUUCGUCCUUUAACCGUAUAGACGUUGAAAAGAUAAAAGAGGAGCAUGGCGCGAGAGAGACGAACGUCCUUUAACAAGAGGCAUGUUUAUCCAACACAGACGAAUUGAGAUGGUUUUAUAAAGUCGACUUUCAACCUUCCGUAAUGUACAAGAUACCACUCAGAUAUCACUAGGGAAAGUCGCAUUUUUAAACUUCAAAGUAACAUACACACUUUAAAUAUUCAAACUUUUUGCAGUAACACUACUAACACUCAAACUGGAAAUUUUAUCAUAUCAAACCUCAAACGUGUUUCCCGCUGAAUAAAAGUCGACGGAACAGUAACUUUGUUAGAUGAUGUGGUCUUUUUCAAAAAAUAUAAAUAAAAUAAUUUUAGUGACUAUUUUAUUAUUUUAUAUAAUAUAAUAAGAUAUAUAUAGUUUCAUCAAAAUUAAGAAAAAUUAAAAAUUUGGAAAAACAAUUUUUUUUUUGGAAAAUGAUAACAUUUUUAAUACAUUAGAUUUUACUAAAAAUCUUUUGCAUCUCACAAUGUUGUAUUUAAAGUAAUAUUUUUUGUAAGUAGAAUUUCUGCAAAAAAAUCUUAACCUUUUCAAAACUCAUUUUUAACAUUAAAAGGUGUAAGAAGAUAAGUUUUAAAACUUACUAGAUUUUGACCCGCGCUUCGAAAGUCUAUUUCGGUUUGUAUGAAUUUAAAUUCUAUAAUAUUAUUAGUUUUAAAUUCGAAAACGCGGGUUCUUCUUUGGAUUAUAAACAAAAUUUGUGAAUUAGUAUUUUAGAAUUGGCGUACAUUAUUCUCUUACAAAGUCAUUAUAUCGAAGAAGGGCACUUGUUUAAAAUUAUAUAAUUUGUGAAUUUGUUUAUAUAAUAUUUUGUAUGUACACUAUUAUAUAACUCUUUUUAGUCUUAGAUGUUUCACCGGAUCCGAAAAACCAUACCAAAAUCAACCAAAAAAUAUAGUUGGGUUUGGAUCUAGGGCAAAGUACAUAUUUGAUUUUUUCUCCGACUUGCGGUCUUUGUUCGAUUCCUAGUCCUAUCUGAGAUCCAGUUGGGUAUUCAAAAUGUAUUAGUUUAUAUAAUAUUUGUAUGUACGCUAUUAUAUAAUUCUUUUUUAGUCUUAGAUAUUUCACCGGGUCCGAAAAACCAAACCAAAAUCAAUCAAGAAAUAUAGUUGUGGUUUGGGUUUGGAUUUAGGGCAAAGUACAUAUUUGAUUUUUUCGUCGACUUGCGGUCUUUAUUCGAUUCCUAGUCCUAUCCGAGACCCAGUUGGGUAUUCAAAGUAUAUUAAAUGUUUUAAGUAUAUUAGGUAUAUUUGAUUUUUUCAUAUAUGUAUUUGGUAUUUCGAUUGUGUUUUCAGUAUUAUGAAUAUUUUUUUAAGUUUCGGAUCCAGAUUUCCGAUUAUAGUUUCGGGUAAAAUUCAAGUUUUUUUGGGUAUGAAGAAAUGUUUUUAGGUAUCUUAGGUUCCUCAUGUCAUAUUUACCGUAAAAUUUGGGUUUUUUUAGGAAUUUAAAUAUUUUUCAGGUAUUUAUUUGUGUUUUCGGAUUUUUUUUGUGUUUCAGUAUUUUUUUAAUUUUUGGGUACUUCGAAUAUUUUUCGAGUCCUAAAAACCCCAAGCCAAUUUGGACCGUUACGUACCCAAAAACUAUAGGUAUUUUGUAGGUAUUUGAAUUAUGGACUUUGAUCCCAAAGAAAUCGACCCGAAUCCGAACCAGAAAAUUUUAAAUACUUAGAUCAAAAGGAACCGAUCCGUACCCAACCAGAAGACCCGAUGCCCAUACCUACUCUCUCACGUUAUAUUUUGUGUGCAUUUUAUAAGAGUUACAUUUGUUGAACUUGUGAGCCUUAAGAUUUACUUGGUUGAUUUUGGCUAAUUUAGUAGUAUAGAUUUGUAAAUUUUUUAAUAAUUUUUAAUCUUGUAUUAAAUAACAAAUUUUAUUUUAAACUAUAAAAAAAUAAUUUAACGUAAAAUAUAUAGUUUUAUUUUUUUAUAUAUGGUUUGUUAAAGUGUUUGUAUUAAAUUUGAUUUUGUAAAUUUUUGGAACUAUAUAGAUGUUUAGAAAAGAGUGUAAUAAAGUAUAUAAACUAUAUUGUAUGUUUAGAAAAGAGUAUAAUAAAGUAUAAAAAUUAUAUUGUGUAUAUCAUUGUCGUGUGAUAUGGUCUAAUAAAUAAAAUUUUAUUUGUUGUAUAACUUUGUCAUGUUCAAAAAGAUGUAGUGUAAUAAAUUAUUGUUAGAGAAAUUUUAGGUUAGAUAUUGUUAGUCAAAUAUUAUGGUAAGACCAAAUAUAUUGCUAGUAAAUGAAAUGGUCUAACAACCUUUCAUAAGUAGAUUUUUUCAGAAUGAUUCUCUUUUAAUAGAAUAGAUAUUGUAUAUUAAUUGUUUUCUAAUUUUGUACGCUUUUCAUAAUUUAAAUAUUUUAUAAUUUAAUGCACUAAAAAUAUUUUUGUUUUGAAAAAAAAAUUCGUUUUUCCUUAAAUUUUUAUCAAUUUCAUAUUUUUAUGAAAAUUAUAUAUUUUCUUAAUUAUAUAAUAAAUAAUAAGAUAUUAACUAAAUGUAUUUUAAAAAUAUUUUUUUUGAAAAAAUAUUAUGCUCGUUUAACGGAGUUAUUGUUCCGCCAACUUUUUUUUGUGAGAAAACUUGAGUGUUAGAAGUGUUCGUUAAUCAAGUUGAAGGUUUAAACUUCGUGUAUAGUCACUUUGACGGUUAAAAAUAGUAUUUUCCCGAUAUCACUACUUGUUUUGAGCUUUUUUCUUAUUAUUAAUUUUUUUAGUUUCUAUGGCUUCCUUUUUUUGUGUCUUAGAAACAAAAUGUAGCUUUUGUAAAACAUCUGCAGUCUUUGCUACGUAUAUAUAUAUCUAUAUUCACAUUUUAUCGAAAAGAAAAAAGAAACUAGAGUAGAACAAGACUCAUAUGAACGUGAUCUGAUCCUACCCACCACGGACAUUAUAUAUAAACAGCGGUCUAGUCUGAUGAACAACGAGGAAGAAGGCGUAUAGUCGUCCUUACGCCUUAGCCCAAAUGGCGUCAGCCUCAGGGCUAGCUAACGAUUCUCGACGCAUCUAGAAGCAGCAACGUACGUGGUCUUGGUGUGGUGGACGAAAGCGCGGCUGCAUUUGAGUGUAGGUUGAAGCGUUAGGACUUGGAAACAGAUUCUUCAAGAGAAGUGAUCCAUAUAUACUCGAAGCCAAAGGGCGAACAUAGAUCCUUCAUUCGUGAAAGUCAUGAUAAAGUGAGGUUGGUGAGUACCUACUUAAUUUGGUUAGUUAUAUACUUAUAUCAGUUGUCUAAGAGCGACAUAAGGCAUUAAAAAGGCUUUUAUAUAUAUAUGUCUAUAUAUGUUCUUAAAUUUCCAACUUGCAAUUUCUUACUUUCUCAUUCGUUUGACGUGUAUAAAAUUUUUGAAUCAACAAGAGGGAUCUAGAAUGGCAAGCAAGCAUAAAAAGGUGGGGUCCACAGUCACUAUGUGUAUAUGGGGUAACACGUGAACGAGACCUACAGACAUCGAUCGUUAUAGUUAUAACAGUCUUUUUGUUUUUAUUUGAUAACCAAGUUGACAUUCUUUUAAAUUUUAUAUUUAUAGUUUUGCAUGUUGACGUGAUUAGGCUGGAAAAAUUGACUAAACCAUAUUUUCAUGCAAAAUUGAACGAAGAAUAUACAAUUCUGAGAAUAUAAUACUGGUUACAUGAUCUGAAUGAUUCAGGUUCUCAGAUGUUCUUCAUUUCACACACUUCCAGUUUCGUCCUUUAACCCGUUACCCGUAUAGACGUUGAAGAGAUAAAAGAAAGUGACAGACCAGUCAACAGAGUGAAGAGGAGCAUGGCGCGAGAUAGACGAACAUCCUCUAACACGUGACUUUCAACCUUUCGUAAUGUACAAAGAUACCACCACUUGUCUUGAGUUUUUUUUUUUUUUUGUUAUUAUUAUUUUUUAGGUUCAAUGGCUUUCUUUAGAAAAAAAAUAUAGCUUUUGUUAAACCUCUGCAGCCUUUGGUACGUGUAUAUAUAUACAUAUAAAGUCACAUAUUAUCCAAAAUAAAGAAAUUAGAGUAGAUCAAAACUCAUGCGCGUUAUCUGCUCCCACCACCACGGGCAUUAUAUAUAUACAUCGGUCUCGUAGUGUGAUGAACACCGAGGAACAAGGCGUAUAGUCUAUAUUGUAUGAAGAACGUCACCGUAAAUUUGCUGAUGUGUUGCUCUUACGCCUUAUAGCCAUAAUGGCAGCAGCCUCAGGGCUAGCUAAAACGAUCCUCGACGCAUCUAGAAGCAGCAACGUACGUGGUCUUGGUUCGGUGGACGAAAGCGCGGCUGCGUUUGAAAAGAGGUCGAAGCGUUUGAACUUGGAAACAGAUUCUUAAAGAGAAGUGAUCCUUCAUUCGUGAAAGUGAUCAUGAUAAAGUGAGGUUGGUGAGUACGUACUUAAUUUGGUGAGUAAUAUUUUUUUUAUCAGUUGUGUAAGAGGGACAUAAGGCAAACCUAGGCUUUGUAUAUGUCUAUAUAUGUUCUUCAACUUCAUGUUAAAUUUCCAAUAUUUCUUACUUUCUGAUUCGUUUGACGCAUAUGAAAUUUUAGAAUCAACAAGAGGGAAUAGAAUAACAAGCAAGCAAGAAAAGAUGGGGUCCACAUUCAAUACAUGGGGUGGCAUAUCAUGACACGUCAACGGGACCUACGGGCGUCGUUAUUAUAGUUACAUUCUUUUUGUUUUUAUUUGAUAACCAAUUAAGUUGACAAUUUUCUAUACACAUAUAAAAAGUUGAAAAGGUGGGGUCCACAGUCAAUACAUGGGGUGGCAUAUCAUGAUGACACGUCGUUAUGGUUACAUUCUUUUUGGUUUUAUUUAUUUGGUAACCAAGUUGACGACAUUCUUUUAAAUAUAUAUAUAUAUAUAUAUAUUUUUGACUAAAGGCUUGACAUUCUUUUAAAUUUUCUAUGAUAGUUUUUGCAUGUAGACUUGAUUAGGCUGGAAUAAAAUAAAACGCGGACAUAUUAAGAUGGUGGCGACUUUCAAACUUCCGUACUAUACAAGACACACUACUCAUAACUCGAAUAUAACUAUUUGUUUCGAGUUUUUUCUUUUCAUUUUAAUCGCUUAAAACAAAUGUGUGAAGAAGGCCUCAAAACGCAAUCGCUGAUACUUUGACGCAGUAAAAACGUUUGACUAAACUUCUUUACGAAGCAGUAUAUAUCAGAAGAAGAGAUAGCGAAAGCUUCAGAAGAAGAAGAGAGAGCGAAAGCUAGAGAGAGAGAAAGAGAGAGAGAGCGGAGGCGAAGGUUGGAGAAUCGAUUAGGAGUGGUUGAUUUGGAGCGGCCAUGGCGUCUUCUAGUUCGGAGCGAGUCCCGAUAACAACGGCAUUGGCGAUUACACCGGCGGGUUCUAGGGUUUUACAAAACCCUAUCAGCGAAGGAGUUGAGGAGAAGCGGCUCAAGGAAGCAUCGAUCAAAAAGGAGGGGGAUGACGCAGACCUAAUCGCUAACGUCGCCAAGCCAGAAUCUGAGGUUUGCCUUAUUGAUUCUCAAAUUCCUAAACGUUCUGUUCUAAGUUCAUAUCGAGGGAGUGGCCUUGGAUUUGUUUUUUUCAAUAGUGUCUACUGUUUCUUGUUGUUGCAUUGCUUGCUCGUGGGGUCAGUGCUGAUUUGGUUUGCUUUGCAAUGUUUCUAUUUUUGGAAUGUUCAUUUAUUUUAUUUAUCAAAUGUUGUGUGAUUUGGCCCUGUGUAGAUCGUCGCUGAUAACAAACACAAGAUGGAUCUCUCUGCGUUAGCUGAAGUGAAGAAACGAGAAGAUGGCUUGAACAAGGACGUUCAGAUUGCUAAAGAGUGUAUCUCUAAUGUAAGACCGUAAUGAUCUAUGAUUUGGUUACUGAUUUUAAUUGUUCUUCUUUGGUUUGUCCUCAGCAAGAGAUUGAUGAUCUCGUUGCGGCUACAAAGAGAUUAAUUGUACAAGUUGUGGGGAAGGAAGCUGGAUUUGAUGAAGACUCGAUCAAGAAGAGGGAUAAAGCUGCCCUUAUUGCUUCCACCGCCAAGCUUGAAUCUGAGGUUUGCCUUUUUGAUUCUUGUAUAAAAUUUUUGGGUAAUUUUCACGACCAUUCAGUUUUGUGAAUGGCCUAAACGUCCUCUGUUCUAAGUUCAUAUCGAGUGAAUGGCCUUGGAUUUGUUUUUUUCAAUAGAGUGUCUACUGUUGCUUUGCUCGUGGGGUCAGUUCUGAUUUGGUCUAAAGUUUCUUGUUUGUACUAAGUGCAAAAAUCCAAGGAAAGCUCUGAAUCUGAGGUUUGAUUAUUAUGUUUCUUGUUUUGUCCUCAGUUGCAUGAGAUUCGUGCUGAAGGACAAGAGGAUAUUCUCGUUUGCCCCAACUUUUAUCCUACGGGUCUGAGUAAGAAUGUCAAGACUGAUGCAGAAGCACUCGGAGGUUCUUCUGUUCAAGAACCCAAGAUAGAUCGGAAGCUGAGGGCUGAGAUAGACUUCACAAGCCCCUCUAGUACGCCGCCAGCUUUCAUCAAUAUUGUAGAUCACCCAUGCUUGUUGUGGGAUGUCAAAGACCCUAAGAAAGACUUGACUUCGGUGAAGAAUUGGAGAGACGAAGGCCGGGGAGGCCCGGUCCGAAACCAGGGAAAUCAUAGUAAUAUUUUACCAUUUCUCUAACUACUACUAUUAUGUAAUUGAUUUUUUAAUUGUCUUAACUGGUUUUUGUUUGUUUGGUAUAUGUAGACAAUUGUUGGACUUACUCGUCCACCGAUGUCUACAGCUCCCAUCGAUUGAGAAACGAAGAAGACGAGGAUUUUCGCGUUAUGAGCGCGAGAUAUCUUACAUUUUACGUCAGUGAGGAAGAGCGAGAGAGGGAACGUAGACAUGGAAAGAGGAAAACACACCAAUGCCACGGAUUCCCAGUAACAGAUUCAUAAAGGAGCAUGGGGUUCCAGAAGAAUCUCCUCGGGAUGCUAAAACUGAUUACAGCUGCGUUAAAAAUCCGCCAUCUCGAACUCAAAAAUUGUUCCAUUUUGGUGCUGACGUUGAGUUCAUGGAGUCAGAUAAAAUUGAAGACUUGCAGAAGAUGCUUCUGCACCAGCCUGUCUCUGCAAAUAUGAUUCUCUACUACCCGGAAUACAAUAAUAUUCUUACGGUAAGUAACAAAUUUAGACUUAUUCAUCAAUAUGACAGUUGAGUAUUGAGUAUUGAGUAUUGAGUAUUGAGUAUUGAGUAUUGACUAUUGGUUAUUGCAGUUAGAGGAAAUCUAUGAAGGACCUACCUCAGAGAAAUCAGUCUAUAAGGGAAUUCAUGCGGUCUUGGUUCUUGCCAUUCUAAGGUUUCUAGGGAAGUUGGUGGCGCUAGUGAAGCUCAGCCAUGGAAUCAAAACUGGUGAAUCCGGCUACAUGUACAUAUCUCUGAGCAAGAUGAUCGUGAAUGUCGAGUACUCUGUCGACAAAAAUCUUCUUUGUCUACUCAAACGUAAAACAGAAGACGCCAUAGCUGAACCGUCGUAUCUUCUUCGGGACUUUACGGGUGUGAAUUAUGGUGAUAGUCCAGGUGUGUAACUUGGUUCUUUCUCGUUUAUGGGUUUGUUAAUAGGUGUUAGUUUGAUUCUAUUCUUCUUCUGUUGCAGUUGCAGUUGCAAGGACAAGUAAAAAGAGGAAGCUAAACUGAAACGAGAAAUGUUUUGAACUCGAGGUGCUCUCUCUCUCUAUUGGUUGAUUGAUGCACUUAAGAUGGCUUUUUGCUAUAUAAUCUGCCUGAUACUAGGAUAUUACUUAUUUAGCUCGGUAUGACUUUGUUGAUCAAAAGGCCAAAAGCGAAACUGUCCAUUGCUUCUACUGUUGGAUUGAAGUUAAAAGUGUCCUUCUUGCACAUCAUAUAUGUGUUUGCACUCUAUACGCUUAUAUAGAAAUGUCCUCCUGGUGCAGACUUAGUUGAGUUGUUUCUAUUUUUAUUGGCGCCUUAUCUCUUACUGUUCUUAUUCUCAGAGAAAAAGGAGGGAUCAAGCAUCAGAUAGAAGUGGAGUGCAACAGUACACAAUUUAACUAGGACACAAGACAAGGAGUAUAUUGUAGAGAAUGAACUUUUGCUAAUAUCUGAUAUUGAGCAUACGUUUGAGAGAUACAUGAUUUUGUGGUGCUUUUGACUUUUUGCCUUUUUUUUUUUUUUUUUUUUUGAGCAACUACUUCUGGCCUUUAUUGAUAGUAUUGUGAACCUUGAACCUUGAAUCUUGCUAAAGAAAAAAACUUCAUUCUCUGUAAUCAAAGAUCCGCAGCUGUUGCAGGACUUACAAUGUCGCAUGAACUAUUGCAUUUGUUGCAGGACCUAUAUUGCACAUGUUGCAUUUGUUGCUCUGUUUGUCAUUUGCACAAUUAGGUUAACGGACAUCAUCUUCAUGCUUUAGCAAAUAGAGACCGUUUAUUGAAGAACAUUUGACAUGCCGAGACUCAACGGCUCUAAUCUGUUUCAAAGGAGAGUCUUCACUCUAUCAGCACAUCAGUUUGUGGAUCUCGAACCAAGUUACAAGGGACACACUUGUUGAGGAGCCAAGUUGGUAACACGGACGGCGGGGAUUUUACCAAGUCAUGAUGGGACUAUAAACACAGCCGUUUGCGUAACGUUGGUACUAAAAUGUGGAGCAGACUCUUCUUGUUCACAAUGUUUGGGAAGAAUAUACAAGUUGAAACCGUGAAGAUCACGAAAGAGGUAAAAGAGACAGACGUCUCUAUGGAGAAGGAGGGACCCCCCAAUUCAUACCCUCUUGUCAUGGCUGAAGAAGAAGAUUCCUAACAAACAAAGAAAAGAGUUUCAAGAAGCUCGGAUGAAGCAAGAGAUGGUGAUGAUGAAACGACAACAACAAGGACAAGGACAAUGCCAAAGUAACGGUAGUACGGAUCUUUAUUCAUGUUUGGAUCAGCACCACGGCCAUUACAAGCACGAUCAGCUCUAAAACCAACAAAGACUAGCUGGAUUAGAGAACCAACAAGCUGCAAUUACUACCAAACGACACCGUCUUGCAACUUACAGCAAAAGACAUUGAUCACACUCAAGAACAUGGUCAACACUAAAGAAGAACUGGAGAGAACAAACCCUGAUCAUCAUCAUCCUGAAGAUUUCUAUGAUAAACUCUUUUGAUAUUUCCUUCUCUCAGCUUUUGUUAGAUCCUAAUUACUACCUGGAGUCAGGAGGAGGAGAAGGAGAGUUUGCUCUCAUGAGUAGUAGCACGAACUCUCCAUUACCAAACACAACCAUCAACAUCAACAAGAGAUUACUCAAUGGUACGUUUGGGAGUAGUAAUUUUCAGACAGAAGCUACCAAUGAUGUGUUCUUAAACAACAACAACAACUUAGCGAAUUUUGUGACCAACGAGAACACAAAACUAUAUGCAAACUCAUCAGUAGCCGGAGCUGGAGCAGCGUUUGCCGGAGGAACGACGAUUGCAUCGGCUGAUCAAAGCACAAUAAGUUGGGAGGACAUAAACUCUCUUGUCAACUCCGAUGAUGCAAGUUACUUCAAUGGGCCAAAUCAUGUGUAAUUUUUUUUUCUGUAAAAUUUAACUUUUACUUAUAUAAAGAGGGUUUAGUUAUAAGUAUGCAACUUUAGGGAGUGGUAAAAAAUCAUGUGGGUUGAGAUAUAUAUUCAUGAAGAUAUUUGAUUACUUUUAGUUUCAACUUAGCUUUAUUCACGAACAAUAUAUAUAUGAUCUUUUUAGUUUGUCUUUUUGAUUAAUUCUUUGUAAAUUUGAAAGAGAUUCUACCUUUUAGCUUCUUUCUUUUUCCCUUAAUUAAUUAGGUCUUUAAAAAUUUAAAAAUCUUUGCAAUUUACAAUAUCUGACACAUCAAUAUCAAUAUAUAUACAAUACUAAAAGUUGAAUAUACUCAAUGGAAAGGACCUCCACGUCGACGUAUAAAUUCAACCAAUGGGGUGUGUUCGUUUGUCCACCUCAAUUACGUUUUGGGCUUUUGAGUUCUGAGAUUAGCCGGGCCUUAGUGUGCUUAAGUUAUUUUUCUAUGGCAGUCACCCUAGGCUUCUCCGUCGCAGGUUUGUACAUCUUCCUCAACAUUCAAUCCGACUCAUUGUCUUCCCAAAGUAACUUACUGGAGCUUCAGUUAUAAAUACCCCUCAUCCAGAGAUGAAGAUUACAGCUUUUACUAGAACCAAAAGAAUACUCUGUUCAACUUUACGGUUAUUAUAAUGGUGAAUCUCCAAAUCCUUCUAACCGUUUUGAGAGCUGGGCGGUGCACCGACAGGUUGCUGUGAUUCUGGGAGGCUAGAAAUUUGAGAAAAGGCGGUGAGCUAAUGUGUCUUGACAUGCUCUUUGUCAAUGAGAAUGUAAGCAUUCUUUCCCAUGAAUUUUUUUUACAUUAUAUUAGACUUUAGCGGAGAUAGCGAUUGUUCCUUAUCAUUGUCUAAACAUUUUUAUUCAACGAUCUAUUAGUGCGAACUGUCAACUUAGUUUCAGGGAACGUCUCAAUGAAGGGUCUCUGUACACGUUAAGUGGUUUUGAUGUCACACGCAGCAGCCCCAAUUUUCGGUUGUCUGAUGCUCCCUUCUCGAUUCGGUUCAAUGAUGGAACAUCUCUUGAGAAGAAAACGUAGUCUGUUAGGCCCAUCAUUAGGGAUGUUAACUACAGGGUUAGGGCUCAACCCUCUUUUGUUUAUUAUAAACUCAUCUCUAUUUUACCCCAGCCCUAUUUUAACCUUAUUAUAAUCAAGAGUUAGGGCUGGUACCAGGGUUAACUCAUUUAAUUGAAAAAAAUAUUUCUUUUAUUUUUGUUCUUAAAUUUUAAAGAUAAAACUAGAAAAAUUAAGAUAUGAUAUGAUUCUUUCCGCCAAUUUGUUGAGCAUCAAAAUCAAAAGUUUUCCUCCUAAAAUCGCAAAAUCGAGUUUUUGCUCCACAACUAAGAAUAAAGUUUUUCCGUCAAAAAACAAAAAUUGUGUUUUUUUCCGCCAAAACCUAAUUUGAGUUUUUCCACCAAAACCACAAAAUCAAGUUUUCCCGCCAAAACCGCAAAAUCGAGCUUUCCCACAAAAAACGUAAAAUCGAGUUUUCCUGUCAAAACCGGCAAAUUGAGUUUUCCUGCCAAAACUGUAAAAUCGCGUUUUCCCGCCGAAACAGCAAAAUCAACUUUUCCGCUGAAACCGCAAAAUCUAGUUUUUCCCCUCUAGACCGCAAAAUCGAGUUUUCCCGCCAAAACCGCAAAAUCGAGUUUUUCCGCCAAAACCGCAAAAACGAGUUUUUCUGUCGAAACCGGCAAAUCGAGUUUUCCCGCCAAAAUCACAAAAUCGCGUUUUUCCGCCGAAACAGCAAAAACGAGUUUUCCGCCGAAACCGGUAAAUAGGGUUUUCCCGCCCAAACCGCAAAAUCGAGUUUUCCCGCCGAAACCGCAAAAUCGAGUUUUUCCGCCAAAACCGCAAAAUCGAGUUUUUCCGCCGAAACCGCAAAAUCGAUUUUGAUUUUUUGGCGGGAAAACUCGAUUUUAAAGUUUUGACGAAAAACUCGAUUUUGCGUUUUUGGAGAGAAAACUCGAUUUUGUUGUUUUAGUUGAAAACUCGAUAUUGCGGUUUCGACGGAAAAUUUCGUUGUUUAGUUUUUGGCGAGAAAACUCCACUCUAAGUUUUUUUGGGUGAAAAACAUUAUUAAAUAUUGUAUAAUAAUUGUGUAAAUCAAAAUAAAAGGUUUAAACCCUGGUCCUAUUAGGGCCAACCCUGUUUAAACCCUAUUUAAAAAAUGAAGGUUAGGGUUACAAAUGGGUUUGCAGAGUUAGGGCUAACCCUGUUAGGUUGAGCCCAUAUUAACAUCCCUACCCAUCAUACCUAUGGAUUCAAAUGUGGGAUUCUUAUGGCAAAAAUAUCAUCAAUACUUUCAAUGAUUUGAUCUCUCUGGCAGAGAAAACGAGUACGGUUUCCAAAGGGGAGGAAAAUCUAUCUAAAUAUAUUGAAUUAUAUCUUUGCUACCUAUAUAAAUGUUUAUAAUGUACAUGUAGAGUCCGAAGUACCAAGAGAUUGUUAAUAUUCGCUUAGGUGAUGGAUCUAUGAGACGUGGUCAGGUCUGGGAGUUUGAUGGAUGGCGAGAAAACUGUUGUCCAAGUAGUCUAGAUUGAAUUUAGACACUACACCAAUGCAAUUGGCUGUACAGGUUCGAUGUUCUCAAUAACUUAUUUUCUUUUGGUUGCAGGUUUUUGAAUUAACAUCUGAAAUUAGCACCGUUCAAUUCACUAAGGUAUUUACUAUGAUUAUUUUUACUGUCUUGCAGUCUAAAGCAUAAAUCAGUUUAGUCUUCUGGAUGUUACGUGAUACGUCUCAGAAACAAACGUUCCCACUAAUGUUGUAUAUCUUUUUUAUUAACCAACACAAACUAACCAGAUGCUGUUCGUUUGAUUUCAGUUAUUGUUGGGCAAGUAAAGGGAAUCAAAAUCACUUUUAGCGGUGAAAGCCAGAAUAUUCAACGAAUCAUGGUAUACCUAAGCAUUGAGAGGUAUGUACCACCUGGACAACUUAAAUACGUUGAACGGUAUGAAAGUGGUGGAAGUUUUGGUUGAAGAUGUUUUUGAUGGCACUUUGUCCUCACUCUGCAGGCACACCACUGUUUUUCUAAGUGUUUUUGACGUCCUCGCCACCAACUUCGAUGAGAAGUGACGAGCCUAAUGUCAUUGUUUGUUAGUGGUACGGAUUGCCCAGAAACUUUGAGCAUUUUAUAACUCUAUUUCUACAACCUUUAAUUGCUUACUUCUUUUCCUCCUAGGCCGGCUCUUCGUAAAUGAUACUUAAGGAACUCGUUUAUUCUGACAAACAGUGUCUUGCUAGCCAUAGAUUCCUCGAUGCGUUAGCAUAUAUACAACUCUCGUUUCAACUCUCAAGUUAACGUAUCUGAGUUUUCAGUCUUAGUGCACUUAACAUUAUGCAGGGAAUGUGUUAAGGACAUCGGUUCUUCCUCAGCCUCAACCAAGUAUGGAGGUGUCCAGAAACUCGAAUACGUCACAGAUGCGGAGUUUAAUGCACAUGUUCUGAGUCACAGGGCUGGAACACAACAUGUACGGCUGUACCCUUUUAAACAGGUCUAACAUGUAACUUAGACGAAUUAGCUUUGUACAAAAACCCAAAACAUACAAUGUAACUGUUAAAAGUGAAUGGUUUUGUUGGAACGUUUUAGCCCAUGUGAUCGUAAUAGACUGCAGGCUUUUUAUUUUUGUUUUCUAUGUGUGUUUUCCACCUAAGCUUCUACUCUGUUUAAUGAGUUUCUUACAUUUUUUUUUUUGGAACAAGAGUUUUACUUAUGCAAUAGUUUAAGAUGGUCACUAGAAACUUUGUUCUACAAAUCUUUAUUUAUACUUAGUGUCUGGAAUAAAUACAUGACAACAACAAGUUUCCGAGGCUACUUCAGCCUUUAAUCUACGUUCAUAAAGAAACAUUGAAAGGGAAGAGUACAUCCAGUCCACAUUAACAUUUUAGGUAAAACCCACAAAACCUAACGCUGUCUCUUCUAAGUUUCAAAACUCAAUAAGGGAAGAGUAAGAGGAAGACAUUAGUACAUCCAGUCCACAUUAACAUUAUGUUAAAAUGCAGUCGUUUAUGAAGUUUAUAUAUCAUCGUGGACACUUUGACAAUACAAAGGGUAUGAAUGGUGACCAGAGAACGACGAGGAAUAAUGCAUUUCCUAACGUUCCUAAAAAAAAUUACUAUUCACAAGGAAUAAUAAUUUCCUCUCAUUCCCUUUCAUUCUUUUUUUUGUAGAGAAUUAAAAAACAAAAUUAUUCCUUGUCAAAUUUGAUAAAGAAUAACUAUUCCUUUUCAUUCCUGGUAUUUUAUUCCCGUACAUUCCUUUUUUAUUCGUUCUUCUUGUUUCUCGGAUGGUCACCAGUCGGACCCAAAAAGUAUACUAUAAGCAUCUUAUAAUCUGGAAAUUUUUUGUAUUUUAUUUGAAAAAUUAUUUUUCUUCCAUAUAUAUAAUCAAAAAAAUAUUUAAUGAACUUAUGAAUGAUAUGAAAACAACAAGGAAGUUAGUUUAAAUAUAUGCUUAUGAAGGUACAAAGUGAAACAUGUUACAAGUAUGAAUUUAAUUUGGCAUAUAAAGCUUCUCUUUCUCAUCUCUAUCUUUAUGACAGUCGUGAAACAUACUAAGCAGCUGCGUUGUCCGUGUUUACCUUCUUCUCAUGGCUUAUCGAUCAUCAGGAACUUGCACCAGCUAGGAGAAUUACCACAUUAGUCUCUAUUGAAGCUGUCGAAGAAGUUUGGUCCUUUAAUGUUACUGAAAUCAACAGUUAUAAUUGUCUCCUCUGAAACAGAAAAACAAGUUCUUAAAGAUCACGACCUCAAUUCCAAGCGUAUAUAUUUUCAUAACUCCAGUAUUUUUUCUUUACUUCUUAGUUAGUUCUUGACUGUCUUCAGAAAGUUAUAUAAAAUGGGCUUUCUUAUAACUAUCGAUACAUUACUUUCCUCCCAUUACAUAGCAAAUAUACAAUAUAAAUACGAAUGUUACUAUCCAAAGAACUCAUCACUCCCUCCAACUCAAUCAUUAUAGUUUGUUUCAAAUCUACAACUAUAGUGCAGUCACAGAUACAACAAAGUCAUGUUAACUCCAGUCCACUUAAACUAUUGAUAUUUGGUGAAAAAUGCAGGUCAUACGUAUCUCUUGAAUGGUGAAUGUAGAAAUUAAAAAAACAUGGAAAUAAGCAUAUUACACAUCUAUUCAUUAGACAUACUAAAAAGUGAUGGAUUUAAGUUACAAUUCAUUUGGUUCGUAAGCAGGACCCGGAGCAUCUACGGUUGAGGAGAAUGUGGGACAUCAGCCACCAUGGCUCUCAAUCAAGUACAUAUCACAAAAAGCUAACGAGAAAACUACGUUGAGGAAGAUAGCCCAAAUAAGACAAAGAUAUAGCAAAAUUAAUGCUGAACUUUUUGCUACUAACCAAAAUCAACGAAAGACUUUUAAGGUAUAUGAAACAAAAAUUGGAAAUAGCAAUUCUCUCCAAUUAAAGAAUAAGGCAAUAAAAUUGUAAAAAUACAAAAUAAAACAAAAAUAUACACUAAAAGAAUCAUAAUAUAAUUCCAUAAUUGAUAGUGCUCAGUUACACUAAAAAGUCUAAAUUUACAACAUACACAAUUUUAUUUACAUCUUUAAACCUAUUAUCUAAUUAAAAUAAUUCUAAAAAAGUGCCAGCAUGAAAAGUUAGAAAAUAUACGAUAAAAAUAUAAUGCAUAACGUUAAAAAUACAUUAUCACUAAUCACUAAAAAAUCACAUUAGUAGUAAUAAAAAUGAAAUGACAACAUAUUUUAUUUAAACCAUAGAACGACACGCAACGAAGUGUUAUUAAAUAUACAAACUACAAAUUAAAUAUUCUCAACGCAAACACACAUAAAAAUGAGAUAUCAUAUUUGGAUAUAUUUAAAUAAAUGAUUUUAAAUAUAUUAUAUUCUUGAUAAUUUUAAAAUUAUUUGAAAAGACACUGAAUUUAAAAAAAAAUAAUAUACAAAUAAAACUAAAGCAAUAUUUUGCAACGUCAAAAUAAUAAAUGAAUAAAAAAUAUAUUAUGUUAAUAUUUAGAUUUUAAAGACUUCUAAUUCAUGUAAUAUUACAAAAUUCAAAAUUUUUUUAUUACAAUUAAUAUUUUACCAUUAGAUAUAUUAAAAGAAUAUUCUAGAUCGAUAUUCAAUUGUCAGUUUUCAACUAUUACACGUAAAAAAAUAUUAUUAAGUACGCUUUUUUUUGAAAAAUGAGUUUUUUUUCAUUUUAAGUAGGUUAUUGGAGUACUUCUUCUUUUCAAGAAUUUUUUCGAGAUGAGAUCCCGAUCUUUUAAACUAAGAUAAUUUAUGUUCUAUACAUAGUUAUAUUUUUUUACAUAACUCUAAAAUCUCGGACUUGAUUUUUCAUAUUUUAUUAGUUAAUUGUGUUACAUAUAAUAGAAAUACUUAUUUCAAACUAAAAAUAAAAUAUAAAAUCAAAUUUAAAAAUUAGUUAUAUAUAAUUUAAUAUACAAAAAUUCACAUACAAAUAAAAAUGACAAAUGCAAUAAAUUUAAAUAGCGCGGAGAAAGGAUCUAGUUACACAUAAAAGGAAAGAAACAAUAUCCAUCAUUCAUUACAUCAAUAUAAUGGAUGAUGUUGUUGAUAAAUUGUGAUGGUGUCGGUGUUGUGCAAUGGGUUCGUAAGAUGACUGAUUCUAACAAGGAAUCCGUUGUCAAAGUGUUGGAUCCGAGACUUUCUUCGUUUCCAUUACAUGAAGUGACGCAUGUUUUCUACGUUGCUAUGCUUUGUGUAGAAGAACAAGCUGUUGAGAGACCGACGAUAAGAGAAGACGUUCAGAUUCUCACCGAGGUACCAAAGAUGCCAACAUCCAAGGAUCAGCCGCCGGAGAAUCAGCUCUCGUCGAAGAAAGGUCCACCUGAUCUACUCUGAGAGUAUAAGGUUUGGCUGGUAAUUUGUUUACCAGUUUUAGUCGGGUGUGUGUGUUUUUUCCGGUUUGUAUUUUAUUUUUGACUCUUUUGAAGUGUGUUUCAUUUUCCUCUGGCUUUUAUUCUUUUUAUUUUUCACAUUAUCUGAAUUUUUAUCAGUUUAGUUUUGUAAUUUGUAUGAAUGAAGAUGUACAGUUGUUUUUUCUCAAAAGGAAAAUGCUAAUUUCUGAAUUUUAAAAUGUGUUGAAAAUUUGAAUUCUCAUGCAGGCACAUAUUUGUAUAAUUGAGAGCGAUUAUGGUUGUGGUUGCAUUCACGGCUUACAUAAAGAUUAUAAACGUACCAGAAUAAUUGAAGAACAACGCUGUAGCGCCCCAUGGCUAAUAGGCCACUCACAUCUCACUCGGUCUGUGGGCUCCAUCCUUUACAACGGUCGGUCCGUUAAUUUUCCUGAAGCUCAAAAUUUAUGUUUACUGACCCUGCAAUCACCAUCCGACUUUUCUCCUGUAUUUUGGCCUCACGUGCACGGUAUCCCGAAUUACUUCUCGAUAGAUCACCCAUCAUUUCACUAUUUCAUUCCAAACACGCUUAACUCUGGAGUUCUAUAAAUGGAUGUAUGACGGAAAAGAUAAAUAAACUUUGGUGACAUAUGUAUCCAAAUCAAUCAUUUUAAACUCGGGAAGUUACAAUUUACCUCCACUAAAAAACACAACGUCUACGUUGCACUCCACGACAGGUCUCAAGACGUCUCUUGGGUCAAAACUGAGAUUGCUAACCAGCUCUGACACCACUUGUAACACCUCGACCGCUAACAGCUAAUGGGCCACCCACGCAUGCUCAUUCGACAUGUGAGCCUCAUCCCGUUCCAACGGUCGGUCCAUUAAUUUUUUCGAAGCUCGAAAGCCGUGUUUACUAACCCUCAAUCACCACCCGACCUUUUCUCGUAUUUUGGUUUCAUCCGCAUGGUAUCGCUUAUCCCUUUCCGAUAGGUCACUUUUCAUUUCACUACUCCAGCCCAAAUACAGUUAACUCUGAAAUUUUAAACGGAUGUGUGAAAGAAAAAGUAAGUAAAUUUUUGAUAUAGAUAACUAAUUCAAGCAUCUUAAGCAUUUCUAUAUCUAUAUAUAAGAAUGUUACAAACACACGUGGAAAAAGUGUGAGCGAUCAAAAGUGGAAGUGUUGCCUGGAAACAAUGAUUGGUUUUCAACUUUUGAGUUAAAUGUAAGAAAGUGAAAUCUAUCACACUCAUCAAAAUUUCUCCCACAUGCAAAAUAUCUAUAAAUAAAAAAUCUUCAAUGUUUUUUUUAUGAGAUUUUUUUCUAACUCUUGUUCCCUUUUCAUGAAGCAAUCUCUAGUCUACUAGAAGCCUCUCUGAUUUCUCCAUCUUAAAUAUACACCACACUCAAGUGUUCGACUCCAUCAUUCAUGACUGAUCAAGGCUAUGCUGGUAUUGUCUCUUCAGAUUUUGGACAGGCGUUGAUUGGGGGUCGGAUUUGAGGUUCUCACUGGCCUUUGCCUUCCUCCUAUUUCAGUUCGUAUGCUUUGAUCAAUGGUCUUUUGUUGUUGUUGUGGGUUUUCUACCUUUUCUAUUAUCUUUAUGGUGUUGUUCCUCUUUACUUGUUCGAGUCUUAUGGCGGUUCCACAGAGAUGAUGCAGUCUUCGUUGAUGUGUUUUAUCCAGGUUGUAUUUUUUAUUUGUUUCAUCGUUUAUUGCCUCCCCUCUGCUUUUGUUUACGGGGUAAGACUGUUUGGUUGCUUGGUUUGUGUUCUUCCGGUUCUAUUCCAGCUCCUUCCUUGGUCAAUCAUCUUAUCAGGAUUUCAUGCUGGCCUCUUUGGGUUCGACUCCGAGCUUUUUCGACGUUCUGCGUCAACCCAUUUGUGUUACUUUGGUUAUGUUUUUUGGACGUUCCAGCUCCUUCCUUGGUCAAUCAUCUUAUCAGGAUUCCAUGCUGGUCUCUUUGGGUUCGACUCCGAGCUUUUUCGACGUCCUGCGUCAACCCAUUUGUGUUACUUUGGUUAUGUUUUUUGGAGUUGUUCUGCCUCUCUAAUGAUUACAAGAUCAUGUUUGUGUGUUCGUUAUAGUUCUCCAUAACGAAAUCACGUGGAAAUGGACCUAUAUUGUACACAAUGCAUCUAAGUGGGUAAAUCACUUCAUCGUGUGUGACACUGCAAUAGCUCGAGCUUGGGCCAUCCUCACUUUCUGUUACUGAUGAGGUCUUCUCUUUGACUCCUUGGAGUUUCUUUGUUAUAAGGUGCUUAUUGGUAUCUUGAUUUUCUGCAACUCCGUUGGCCUUUGGCUAUGUAAGAAGUACGAACCUUACGGUUGAUUUAAUAUUACACAAAGCUUUAAAAUAUAAACCACACCCGGCUUACAUUUAUCUGGUUUCAUUUAGGUGUUUAAGUCAAUUUAUAUAGACUGCAAAUCUUAUAGUUCGUCUAGGUUUCUUAUCAAAGAGAAACUCGGGUCUCUGCUUUUAAACAAAGGUAUCCGCAAAGGUAUCCGCGCUUGGAUGCAGGGCCGGCCCUGGGCCAAGCCCAAUGAAACAUUCGCCUUGGACCCCUAAAAUUAUUGAAAAUUUUUAUACGUAAAUAGGCCCCCAAUUUGUAAAAAAAAAAUUUUUAGCCCCCCAAAUUUUUUAAGUCUUUACUAAAUGGUUUUGGGCCUCCAAACUCUCAGGGCCGGCCCUGAUGACGGCUCAAGAUCAGCCUCAUGAAAACCUAUGAGCCAUGCUGAGAUAUGAGUAUGACCGAGGAUGAUCAUGAUCCUUAUCUAUAUUUGCUUUCUAGAUAGAUUCCAAGUGAUAAUGUGGUGUAUGGUUUUGUAAUCAGCAGAGCAGAAACAAAAUUUUAUAAUGAACCUUUUGGUAGCUAUUUUUUGCUAUUUUCAAUUGACACGUAUAUUUUUCAUUCUGUAUUUCACUUUGGUAUAAAUAUUAUCAUCAAUGGCGAAAAAGAAAAAUAGAUUUGUUUUCUUCAUGCAGUCCGGAUCGUUAACAAACAGUUUAUCAACACGGAUAUUCCUGCUCUUGAUCAUCUAAAAACUUCACCAAUACCGGACGUCGGACGAUGAAGUUUUCCUUAAAAACCAUUGGUGACCAUGUGGUCCACUUCUUACAGAGUAAAAUCAUUUUGUGUGCUUCCCAUGUCAAAAACAGUUGCAAAAAAUCAACUAAACUAGUUUUAGUCGAUAAAACAUAUUCUAGUUAAAGUUUUAUAUGUGUUUUAUAUAUUUACACCAGAUGGUUCACAUAAUCCAUGAAUAUUGCCAAGUAGUUCAACCUUGCAGUCUAAAUCCAAGACAACAUUCACAUCACUUCCUUAUGAUGCCUUGUACUUAGCAAACAGGAUUUGACCAUUUUAGCAAAUAUACAAUCCUUGCCCUAAACAAAUAUACGAUAAGAGUGAUCAAAUCAAUUGAUGCUAUUGUAUUGGUCUAUCAAUAAAAAAUGUAUGCUUGAAAGUUGAAACUAUCAUCUCCACUGGAACCAGCAAGAGAAGCUUGUUUUAAAAUUGGUCAUUUUAGAAUCCUUUUGCAGUUAAUCUUUUUUUAACAACUCGGCUACCAACACGACCUUACAAGCUAAGCUUAGUUUUAAAGACAGUUGACCAAAAAGUGUCCAAAUAUUUCUUGCAACUUGAAACAAAAGACAGUAAAAAAACCACCACCCGCGAAACGACCAUUAAAUAUUUGACAAUAUUUAAUAAUUUAUUACGUGAUCCACAUUUUAAAAUGGAUCUGGUCUUAUAAUUACUUAAUUAGAAGCUUAACAGAAAGACCAACGAAUACGAGCCAUAGGAUUGGCAAAUUCUCUGCUCUACAGAAAAAUAUCUCUCCAAUUGCAAUCGCCCUGGAACGAGAGAGUGGUAUCUCCAGAGAUCUUGUCCAUCUUUCUUCUUACUAUAGCUACGCCAUCACGUGUUGGCUUGCAACCAUGAUCCUUAUUUUCAUUUGGGCAGUACUCGUACUUGAUGUAGAAAAUUGCAUUUCUGGCAUUGAGUUUCUCGUUUGGCAAAGCCAUGUCCUCGUCGCUAGUAUACACCGCUACUUUAGUAAUGACCAACUUCGACAGAUCAAGCUGCAAAAAUACGAAGAAAGACGUGUUGUUAUUAUUGACAAUAGGCAGGAAAAAAAAAAGAAAAGAAGAGGUGCCUACACUUCGAAUGCUCGAAUUUGGAACGAGGAAUGCAAGCUCAAGGUAUACACGAAUCCAGUCAUUUUCUCGAAGCUCUGAUUUCUUCACCUGCGAAAAGAAAACACAUCACUUACAACAGUACUGGACUACUAGCUAGUGUGAAAAAAAAAACAAUAGUGAGCUUUUUAGUUUACCACGUAAUAAUGCUUUUUAUCAUCGAAAGCAUUCUCUCCCGGCCACUCAGGCAAUUCACUUUUGUCUUCAGAUUCAUCAUCAGAUUCAUCAUCAGAUUGAACCCAUAAAUUAUAAGCAUUAUCCUCCUCUACACACAGAGAUAUAAUUCACAUUACAUUACAUUUCAACAAUUAUUCAUUAUUAUGGAAAUAUAAUGUAACAAAACAGGCAAGUUUUUUUACCAUGUGGUCCGGGCUUGGGCCUAGCAAUAAAACAAGACAAUCUCUUGACCCCAUAGACUUCUUCAUAAAAACUGGUCUGGAAAGUUACAAGGGAACCGCCGGCAGCAGGAUCCUUUGCAACUGCGGUUACAAAGUGAAUGGAAUAAGGUAUUUUAUGGAACACAUUGUACUUCUCUAUGCCAUUCAGCUCCAAGUUAGUCCCCUGAGAAGAAGAAGUAUUUAUUAGAUUGCAAGAUCAAGAAACAAAUACUACAAGUUUUUUAAAUUUUUGUCACCUGGAUCAUAUUGUACUUGUGGAUCCCCAACCUAGCAUAUAGGACGAUGUACCUGGGGGCGGGUUUAUCCUUUGUGAUCUCCAAAGCCAUGAAAUUACAACGGCCUGGUUUUGCUUUCAUCAAAUGCUCGACAUCGAACCCCUAACCAAUAUUAUAGGGUAUAAAUAAUAUAUAUUCUGUGGAUUGAUUCAUUACAAAACCAAAAGAAGAUAAAAAGACUUACACCACACUGUCUCACUUUCUCCAUAAACUCACGCUCCUUCCUGAAUCCCUCAAGCAUUUUAGCCGAGGAAUCUCCCAUUAUUUUUUUUUAACUUUGAUCGACGGAAACAAGCGGCGGCUACUUUCAAUAUAGAUUGCUUAGGUUUCCUCUCGUGAUAUGUAUAUACACACAUUCGAUCUUCCUUUAUUGGGCCUACAAAGCCCAAACCGUUUUCUAUUAAGUCCGUUAUCUUUAGGCCAAUAUCCAAAACGAUGGUAUAACAAAGUUUGUCUGAUUUCAAAAAUAGUUAAGUAACGGGUUAACUCAUUGUUGCCCAAUCUUUUUAGUCUCGUUGUCGAAGGUGAUUGGUAGUUGUUGUAGGUGCUGUCCACAGUCCUAUUUAUUUUUAAAUCACCAAAUUUAAAGCAAUCAAGUUUUAAAUUUUUUUUUGAAACCACAGCUCUUGAAAUAACCUAUAGCUGUACAAGUGCUCUGCAGAGCCAAAUAUCCAAAGCAAUUUUUUAGUGAUUUCCAUAAAAUUCUACAUCAGUAAAAUCUAAAGCCACAGCAAAAAAUUUACAGAUUUUUUUCUACACCAAAAAUUUUUAAAGUUACAGCCCUUACCAAUUAGAGCCGUAAUAACAUGUUCUUUUCUAUCGAAUAGAAUAAAGAAUUUUUUACUCUUUAAAACACUUUUUGUCUUUCAAAUUACACAAUAGGUCACUUGUUGCUGAAAGCACACUUUCUCUUUUGUGCAAUGUACUAUAUGCCCUCAACCCUUCUUAACUAAGCUGUCACUUUCCCUUCUUAAAAAAAACCCGAUUAAUCAGUUUCUGAUUUUUUAGUUUUCAAAAACGAACCUAUAUUCUCUCUCCAACUUUACUUUUUCAGAUUCAGAUUUACUUUCCCCAAUUUGACGGUCCCUUCGGUUACUAACCCUAAUUCUGUGAACCCUCUUCUUCUUCAUCUUCAAUUUCUCCAUUGAACACCGUGAAACAGAGGUCCGCCGCGAGUUUGAUUGUGUAAUCUCAUCUACACGGACUUGGGAACUCUCGAGAAUCCUCCACCGAGAUAUAUAUGUACGACAGUCUGGUUCUGUGGUUCUCCCUUGGACGAAUCUCUCUAAUGUGUUGUGUCUUGAUUGGAUUCAGCUUAGUUCCUACUGAUGAAACCAAUCUCCAUAGCAAAGGUAAACAUUAAUCUGAUAUACGGCGCGUAAUUGUCGAAGUUAUCUCCUCAAAUACACUCCCAAAUUGAUUUGUUUUGUUUUGUUUUGGAAAUUCCGUUCAAUAACACAAACCAUAAACGAAAAGUUUGAGAUGAAAUCAUGAGGAAGUUGAGAAGUGGGGAGGAAAUCAAGAAGGAUUUGAGAGUUUGAGACAAGCAAAAGGUGGACUGAGUUCGUUGAUUGUCUCUGUUUCUCGAAAUCGUGGUAAGAUUCUUUUUUGUUUUCUUCACUCGUAAUUUUGUGUUCUGAGAAAUUGAUGUUCUGAAAAAUUGAGGAAAACGGGUUUGAGUUUAGUUUGUUUGAUGUGUUGUGUGCAUUUUCUCCAUGAAAAUAUGAACUAUCUUUUGGUUGAUAUCAUUGUAUUGUAUUGUUUGGUAUUGAAACACGCGUGGUUUAUUUUUUUGUUUUCGUUUUGUCUAAUUUGAUGUUUGGUUGUUGUUUCGUCUUUGUAUAUGUCAUCGUCUUUGUGUUUCUAUGUCACUGUAUUUUACUGUGUUUUGUGUCUCGUUUGUGGUAUCAUGUAUGUGUGGUGUGGCAAAGAAAUUGCAGACAGUGUCACCUACCAACAAUGUUACCAAUCGUAUAACUUCUGAAAGUUUUUGCUGGCUACAUGACAGGAUCCUUGAGGAGAAUCUAAGAGGUCAUAAAGCUCGAGAGUUGAUGCUGACACCUAGUGGUGUUUGUCUUUCAUAUUUUGUCCUUUAGUUUGGUUUGAGUCGUUGCCUCAAGACCUUUGUUCUUUCUCUUAAGUAAUGAAAACGUUUUCGUCUACAAAUUUUUAUCACCAGAUUCCGUCCAUGUCCACAAAUUUAAUCCAUGUCCAUGUCCACAGAUUUAGUCCAUGUCCACAUAACCAUUUACUAUGUCCAUGUCCACAUAUUUGUUUUACGUAAAUGUUAAUAAAUAUAUAUGAAAUGGAUGUUAAAAGAUAGAAAAUCUUAUAAAUAGAUUAUUAUAAUAAUUCUAUUUAUUUUAUUUAUUUUACAAUUGAAAAUAAAAUCAAUUAAAAACAUUAGGUGGUAUAAACAGUAAUAAAAUAAAUAACCAAAAAAAGUUUUAAAAGAAAAAUCUCAUCCACUAAUAGAAGCAUUAACUCACGUCCUAGUUAAUUUACUUUAUUAUCACAACCACAAGUCCAACUAGUUUAUUCUGCUUGGGAGGGCAAAAGAGUCCAUAAAUCGCCUAGGAAACGGAGAAAGUGCUCCUCAGGCACAAUGUGUCUUAUGAUGAAAAGAAAGUGACAAAAGUGCCUUAUAAAGUAACUCACUCUAGAAUAAAAUGCCUUCUACGAGUCAUUUAUCAAUUUGCAUCGUAUUUUAAACCGGUUAAACUUGAAACUAAAAUUCUUAUUAAUUUAAAGUGUUUAUAUUAAUUUGUAAAGUAUUAAUUUAUAGAGUUUCUAAUGUAUGUAACUUUUGAAUCUCAUCUGAAUUAGGGGUUGACAUUUUAUUCAUAAACCGUAACCGACCCAAACUUGAAUCUAUACUAAAAUACAUGGUGGAUCUUUUUUUGGACCUGCGGGUUUCGGUUCGGAUCUGGAUCCUAUCCGAGACUCGAUCGGUAUCCGAAAUAUCCAAAACUUAUUUUAUAUAUUAGAUAUAUUUGUGUAUUUUGGUAUAUUUUUGAUAUUGUGGGUAUUUUUAAGUUUCAUAUUUAUAUUUUUGGGUAUAUUUUCGGGUCUCGGGUAAAAAUUUUGAUCUUCGAAAAAAUAUAGAUCGGGUACUGGGGUAAAAUUUCAAGUAUUUUCAGUUUUUUUUUUCUAAUCAGAUUUCAAAUAAUUUUUUCUAAUCAGAUUUCAAGUAGUGUCACCCCUCGAUCCAUCAGUUCUCAAUCCCCUCGGAUCUGAGUUCAUAUCAACCAUACCUAAAGAGUGAUCCAUAUUUUGGUUCUAUCAGUUGGUAUCAGAGCCACUUGGCUGGUUUGUUUUCAUUUCAUCUUUUCAUCUUCUCAUCUCUCCACGAUUUUCUUUUCUUAUUUCUUGUUGGAUCCGGGCUGUUUCUUUACUCCCUUGUGAUCGCCAGUUAUUAAAAAAAAAGAGAAAAAAAAAAUCGAUCAAAAAAAUAGAGUGAAAGUUUUGGCUUAAAUCACUUCUGAAGAGAAAUCCAGGGGGAGUGGUGGAAGAGAAACUCUGCUUGCUGAAGAGAAACCCAGCCUUAGGACAGUUAAGGCGGAUCCACACAAAAAUCUCUUCAUUUUCGUUCUCUUUUCUUUUACCACAAAGUUUGUAUUGGGUUUUGAUUGCUGAUUUUUUACUGCCUAUCAUCCUUUGAACCAGUGAAAGAACUCUGAGUGACCAUCUAAAAAUCGUGAGCUAAACACUCGAGAGUGUGAGGAUUUUUAUUUGCUAACUUUGUUAAGUGUUUCAGGAUGUUUGGACUUCUCAAGAAAUCAAAACCACAACAAGACGUCUACUUUCCUUUUAAAACUGUUUUUGAAAAGGAGAAAUUGAUUUUUGAUAAGAAACAGUUUGCUUCUAAUGGGUUUGACUUUGUGCAGAAACAAAGGAAGAGACAAAACAGGUGCGAUGAUGAGAAGUGGGCCAGAAGUGGUGAUCGUCCCUUCACCAAAGCCAAAAGAAGCAAUCGUGAUGUGCCUGAUCAGAACGAGCUUCAGACUUAUGCUAGUUUGGAAAAGAUGUUGCAUAAGGCGAUUCAUGUUGUUCGACAACUCAAAAAGAAGGGAAACACAAACACUUUUUCAGCACUAAAACAACAAAGUAAUUCUUCUUCUCUUUCAAAUUUUGAUUUGAAAACUAAUGUGUUGUCUUCUGAUAAAAGCAAGGCUCUGAAAACCACAAGCAAGACUCUUUCUACCAGAUGCUUCAAAUGUCAUAGGGUCGGUCAUUAUGCCAACAAGUGCCAAAAACAGAAACCGUUGGUGACUUUGGAGAAAGUUGAAGCUGAGCCAGAAAAGGAAGACCCUUUGCCAAUUUUCGAUGACUAUGCACAUGAACCGAAGGAAGGGUCAGGUGGAGAGCAAAACUGUGGCCAUCAAGCCGUCCCGCGUGCGUACCGAUUUGAGCUUCGGCUGGAACCACGACCAGACGACCGACUUCCCCGUACUGAAGCUCGUCUUCCCCGACCAACUCGACAUUCUAAGACCCAUGGUCGAGUAAGACUUAGCUUGGGUGGUGAAGAAACCAAAGACGGACGUGCAUUCUCAUCCGGCGAACCAUCCGGACAGUCCCGCAAGCGUCCUUAUCGUUACCCCGUGCAUCCAUCUGGUUCGGAUGAACCUGGACAUCUUGACUAGUCUUCUCCAUUUUCCGUGCCUUGACCAGAUCUAGUCUUCUCCAUUUUUCGUGCCUUGACUAGAUCUAGUCAAAUUUGUAUUUUCUAUGCAUUGUUUUCCCACAUUUUCUUUAAUUGUCUUUGACUACAAAACACUAUAAAUAUGUAGUCCCUUUGAUGAAUAAAAUCAGUUCAGUUUUGGUUGUUUAUUUCGUUUCUACUCUGAGUGAGAGAGAGAGUUCUUUAGCUAGUUCAUUGGUGUGAACCGGCUUGUUGAUUUGGUGGUCAGCCAAUUCAUCUUUGUGUGUUGUUUGGUGGUUAGCCAACACAUUCAUUAUUUGUUUGGUGGUUAACCUUAGAUCGUGGGUAUAUCAAGAGCCAUUCCGCAUCUCUUGACGAUCCUUUCAAUCCAUCUCAGUUCCAGAAGUGUUGUUUGCCUUCUCGGAUCAUAUCCAACACCCAGCUAAAGUGAUCCUCCCUAUCUUAGGGUUCUUCACUUGGUAUCAGAGCCACUCUUCUGGUAACUCUAUUAUCAUUCCAUCUUCUCAUCUCUCCAUCUUCUUCAAACAUUUCUUCGUCUACCUUUCUUGAAUCCGGGCCCCUCAUUACCAUCCAUAUAUAAAAAAAAAAGAAAAAAAAAAGAAAAAGAAAGAUCUAUCCAAAAAAAAAGGAUUCAAAAGAUUGAUUUGUGGUUUGGUGGUGGAAGAGAAAGCCUGCUGGCUGAGGAAAAAUCCAGCCUUUGAGGUGGUUAAGGCGGAUUCCAAACUAAAAAUAUCUUAUCUUUCUAUCUUGAGAAAAACCCUUUUGUUUGCUUUGGAUCUACCCAUUGAGAUUCUUGAUCUGUUCUCUUAGAACUUUGAGAGACAACUCUUGUGUGACCAUAAAAUUUGAGUGAAACACGUGUGUGGGUGAGGAUAAACACUUGAGUGCGUGAGGAUUUAUCUAACCUUUGUGUUGAGUAAUUAUUUCAGGAAUAAGAUGUUUGGUCUUCACCGGAGAAAUACCAAGGAGAAAUCCCCACGACCAUCAGCCUCUCAGUCUUCAUUUAAAUCUUCUUUGAAUUAUUUUGAUGAGUGUGCUAAUGUGCAGGAAAAACCAAACAGGUGGAGCAAAGAGCAUGUCAAUACAUCCAAAGGUGAAUCUGAUCCAAGAAGGCGAUUGCUUCAGUUUGAUGUCCAACAAUUGUGUGAUAACUUUGUGAAGGGUGUGGACAAAGCCCUCAAGGACGUCAGCAAGAGCCAAAAGAAGAGCACAUCCACACGUGCUCCAGUAGCUGAGCCAUCAUUUUCCAUCAGUAAUAAAAACCAAGGUGAAUUUGAAAACUGUUUUGAAGAAUUUAAAGAUUUUUCAGAUUCUUCACCUAUAUUUGAUGAAACUGAUGAAGAACCAAUUGAAAAUUUGAUGUCUUGUGAAUAAAGUUGUGAUCUUCCUUAUCUUGAAUCUGAGUUUAUAAAUGAUAAUGAACAAGCUAAUGUAGAACUAACUGUUUUGCAACCGGAGCAUCCGAGUAGCCUUGUCUUGUCUCAACAGGUUUUUGAGGAAGAGCCACUGGAUAUUCCACAUCAGUGCCCAUGUCUUGACACUUGGAUAUCUUUGGAUGAAGUCUCAGAACCUAUCUUUGAUGUGGAGGACGAACCUGAUCCAGUCUUUGAUGAAGAAGCAACAAGCAUCAUGUCCACCUUUAUGGAGAGCCAUCUUUGCUUUGAUUCCGGCACAACUACUGCUCCUUCAUCUCCUGCCCCUUUGCUUUCUGAUCUUCAAGAGCACUGUGAGAAAUCUAAAUUAGUUAUUUCUCUGCCUGACAUGUUUGAUAAGAUCAGUUCUCUUGAUGUGAUUCGUUUUGGUCUUGAUAAGAUAAAAGAAAAUUGUUUUUCUGUUUUUGGAAACAUGAUUAAUUCUUUUAAAAUCUUUGAACCUGAUAAAUUUCUUGAUCAGCAACGUUUUCAAAAUAACCUUGGCAUCAGUUCUGAAAUUAUUUUGAGCUUUGAUCAGUCCCUCGAACAAAGCAAAGUUUUUGAUCAUUUUGAAAGUAUCUUGAGGUUGAUUUGAUUUUUGUGCUACAAAAUCUUUUGAUUCGUUUGUUUUCAAAGAAAAUAGCUUUGAUCUGAACUCAUCUAGGCAUAGACUGAUCACAGAUGAUUUGUUUGUAUUUUCUCUGGACUUGGACGAUUUCUUAAUUAAAAAGAUGCAGGAACAGAAUUCACUUGAAACUGAAAUUGGUUUUUGUGAACUUGAUUUUUGUGAUUCUGUUUUGCAGCCUGAUCUCUUGAGUUUUGAAAAUGAUAAAACUUUGAAUUUUCUGAGAUCAUCUUGUGAGAAUUUUGUUGAUUUGAGUGUUGAUGAUAUAUUGGUCUACAACACAUUCUUUGAAAAAUGUCUUGAGUUUUUGAUAGUUGUUUCUCAAUCUGAACUUAAGCUUGUGUGUUCAGAUGUUGAUAAUGAUAUGCACGUUUUGGAAAUGAUUAAUGUUGUUGCAUAUCAUGAUAAGAUUCUUGUAUGUAAUGUCUACUUUGAUUUGCUUCUUGACAGGCUGAAAAGUGUGCUACUUGUUCUUGGAAAUGAUAUCUUAAUUUUUGAUUUGAACAAGUAUCUCUUUUGCACAUUUGAUCCUGGUCUUUUAGUGUUUGUUUUGAGUAUCCAGGAAAGACAGGUUCAGCCUCUGAAUGCAAGCAUUGGCCGUGCCCAACAACCUCAGAUUUGGAGAAGCUUUGUUGUUCAAACCGGCUACCUUGAUGCCAGAGACAGAGGUUCAGUCCAAGAAGGAUAUCUCAACAGUCCGAAGGUAUUUUGUCUUGAAUCCAAUUUUACUCGAAAGCCAACUCAUCAAGGAUUCACUGAGGCUUGGAGUCGCAUGAAAACCUUCACGGAUGAAGAAGUUAUGAAUUUUCCAAACCAGAGGUUCUUCAGUCCGCCUAUCCGCGAGUACCAGAUUUCUAAAGGAUAUUCAUGCCCCAUAAAAAAGCGGCCUGAGCCAAAACCGAUCAUAGGGUUCCAGGUGGAUCUCCCAGCUUCUCAGAAAGACCGAAAUCAGGAGAAAUGGCCAUGGAAUUAUGAAGUUAUGAUCCAUCCACCAAAACCGGCCAGACCAAAGACAGCACAACCUUUUUCAUUCAGCCAAGAACCCGAAGGUACUUCCAAAACUUCUACUUUUAUUUGUGCUGAUGAAUCUGUUUUGAAGCUUGAUAUCUUGUGUGUUAAAACUGAUAGACCUUGGCUUGUGUUGAGAUCAUUUCUUAAAAAUUGUGUUGUCUUGAUUUUUGAUGUCAUCUUGGUUUACAACACAUUCUUUGAUGAAUAUCCUAAGAGCUUGGAUCAUGUUCUUGAUGUCCUAAGGAUAGAGAAACUCUUUGAUUAUUUCUCUCGCAGAUUUGAUGUGGUUUCUCUAGUUGUUUUGAAAGUACAUGAUAAGCAUGAUCAAUUCCCAAGAAGAAAAAGCACUGGUGAACGCCAAAGGUCUUAUGUAUCAGGGACAUGGAACUGGAAGUACUUAGGAAAACAAGUCCUAAACUCCAAGGAAGUUUAUGUCCAUACGUUUCCUUCAUUGAAUUUUAUAUGAUUUUAAAAUUAGUUUUGUCUUAUUCAUUUAAUUUUGAUACAGGUGAAAUGGAUUUGAGGUCAAAUCCUUUUCAAGAGGGAGGGAAUGAUGUGCCAUGGGGUAGCGCACCGGGUAAAACAGACAUGCAUGGCUUGAUCAUGGAAAGUAGAAAAGAUAUAUGUUCAUUGUUUGACUCAUAUCUUCCUAACCACGAGGCUUCUACGCAUGAAAUAACUUGGAUAAUGUUCUCAACUCAAUUACAGAGCUCCUAGAAGAAAAAUCAGAUCAAACGGAGUUCAUAUGUGAUAGUUAUGCUAUUUACAAAUCAGGUGAUCUUCAGUUCUCGCGAAUUCAGACCACCCGAGAAGCUCGAAAGGGUUAACCUUCUUUCUGAUGAACCAACGACCAAUUCAAUCAUUCCAAAGGUGAUUAUUCAUGUUCCAAAUGUCCAAGAAAGCAUUGGGCUUGAUCGUUUUCAAAAAGAUUCAAAAACGAGCUUGUUUGGGCCAAAUGGAGAAACCGAUAAAAUAUUGGCUAAGGAAAAAGAUGGAUUUCGACCAAGCCUCAAAGGGACAUGACUUGGCCCAUAUCAGGAGUAUAUUCUUCACCUUUCAAAGUCCUGGUCGUGGCUAUAUCAAGAGGUAGUCCAAAUUUCAGUCAAAGACUUUAUUUAGUCAAGUCUUUGUUUCUAUUUCCAAUGUCAUGUUUUUUAGCACAUUCUUCUUUGGAUCUCUACAACUUGUUAUUUAUAUUCUUUGGAUCUCUACAACUUGUAAUCCUAUAAAUAAGGCCUAAGAGCCACAAAAUAAAUCAGAUUGUUUUCCCUUUUUUAUGAGUUUAUCUCUUUGUUCUUUGCUUAGAACAUUCAUACUUCUCUUGGUGAGGUCAUCUCCAAGCGAACCACUUCGUUGUGUUGGACCGGUGCGUCACAUCCGGCAACCUUCGAAUCUCUGGUAGUAUCUUUGGGCUAUUCUGCAACCCUUAGUGUUACCCCUCGAUCCAUCAGUUCUCAAUCCCCUCGGAUCUGAGUUCAUAUCAACCAUACCGAAAGAGUGAUCCAUAUUUUGGUUCUAUCACGUGGGGUCCAGUUACAAAAAAAAGAAGAAGAAUAUAUGUGGUCCACAGUUAGUACAUGUGGUCCACAGUAAGUACAUGAGGUAACAUAUUAAAUGACAGGUGGACCUUUUCGGUGGGACCUAUGGACAUCGUUAUAGUUGCAUUUCUUUUUUAUAACUACAUUCGAUUUAAUUUUGUAUUUAUAGUUUUGCAUGCAUGUUGACGCGAUUAGGCUGAAAAAUUGACUAAAACCAUAUUUUUAUGCAAAUUUGUACGAAGAAUAUAAUACUAGCUUCUUGCAAGUUACAUGAUCUGAAUCAUCUGAUGCAUGAUUCUCAAGAUGUACUUCAUCAUUUCACACUUCCAGUUUCGUCCUUUAACCAUAUAGACGUUGAAGAGAUAUAUAGAAGAAAGUGUCAGACCAGAGUCAAGAAGAGCAAUGGCGCGAGCGAGAGGAACGUCCAGUCCACUAACACGUGGAGGCAUGUUUUUCCAGACCAACCCAGACAAAUUCAGAUGGUUUUUAACGUCGACUUUCACCUUCCGUAAUGUACAAGGUACCAUUCAGAUAUAACAACUUGUUUUGAGUUUUUUUUUGCUUAUAUUUUUUAAAUUUUAUAUGGCUUCCUUUUUUGUGUCUUAGAAAUAAAAAGGUCCCUUUUGUAAAACCUAUGGAGUCUUUGGUACGUAUUGGAUUAUCUUUGUGUAUGUGAAACAAUCUACUCAUUCUGUUCCUAAAAGAUCCAUGUUAUAGUUUUUUCACACUUAUUAAGAAAACAUUUAAAAUUGUAUUUCCCAAUACAUUGUCUUUCUUAAUUAACUAUUCCCAAUAACUUUUAACCAAUGAGAUUUUAUUAAACACAAUUGUAAUUUUUGAAAAACACAAUUUUUCAUUAAUUAAUGUAUAGAAAAUGUAAAAAAUGUAUCUUUGUGAAACAAAUUUUUUUUCUAAAAAUGGAUCUAUAAGGAAUAGAGGGAGUAUACUGUUUAGACUUAGUUAAUUUGUGUGGUUAAACUUUAUGAAAUAGUUUUUUCUUAUUAUAUUAUUAGAUAGAUUCUUAAUCUGCUUUCUUGGGAUUUGGAACUCUACAUAUGUUUCCAUUCUGUAAUGUACUGCUUUAAUUUCUUUGGAUUUGGAACUCUACAAAUGUUUCCAUUUUUGUUUAACAAUUAACAAUUAACUGUGGAAAGGCUUUUAAUUCUCUUUAUAUUUAUAUAAGAACAAAAUUUAGGUUCACCGACUACGGUGAACUUUUAAAUUCACCUCUCAUUCUAAAACCAAUUAAAGUGUCACAUAGUUUAAAUUCACCUCUCAUUCUAAAACCAAUUAAAGUGUCACAUAGAUAAUUAAUUAAAACAUAUUAAGUUUAUUUAAAAAUAACUAAAAAAAGAAUUUUAACGACGACGCCGCCAGCUAAACUGUAAACCCUAAAUCUUAAAUUCUAAACCCUAAAUCUCAAAUUCUAAACCCUAAAUCUUAAAUCCCAAAUCCUAAACCCUAUACCCUAAACCCAAAUCCUAGACGUUAAACACAAAUUGUAUACCCUAAACCCAAAUUGUAUACCUUAAACCCAAACCAUAAAUCCUAAACCCAAACCAUAUACCCUAAACCUAAAUCCUAAAUCUUAAACUCAAACCUUAUAGCGUCUAGUUUUAGAGUUUGGGUUUAUGGUUUACGGUUCGAGUUUUAAGUCUAAGAUUUUGGUUUAGAGUGUACAAUUUUCACUAAUUAACGAUGUCAACUAAUAAAAUCAGAUUAAUUUAAUUCCAGCGGUUUUAGGAACAUAUAUAUAAACGAAAAAGCAUCAAACGGCUAUAAUUGGCGUUACAGUUUUCCUAAAACGAGAGGAAUUAAGAGAGUUUUUUCUCGGAUUAUAUAAUUUUUAUAUUCGAGUUUCUGAGAAAACAAUUUGAUUUGUGGUGGCUUCAACAAUCACCUUCCUAGCAAAGAAAAAAAAAUUCCCGAGAAAGUCAUAUAAUUUCUUCUCGGUUAAAAUCAUGUCGGAUGGAUACUAUUACAGUUCUAAGAAAACUGACGAUGUCUGCGAAGAUGUUUGUGGACAGGUGAGACUUCUGAUUCCUAAUCUCUGUUCCGUUUCGAUUCUCAUCGAUUUCAUGAUGAUUCGUUUUUUUUUUGUCCUUCUUUGGCAUUAACGAAAUCGAGAUUCUGUUACCAAUUUGAUGAGAAUUGGUGGUAAUGCCAUGUCAUAUGGUUUGUUGUUCUUAUUCUUACCAUAAUUGUCUGAACACUACAAGAAAACACGCCGAAUUCCUACGGAGGUUCCGACGGACAUCAAUGUCGUCGGACGUUUGUGACGGAUUGCCGACCAAUUUCCGACGAAAACCAAAAAUUUGAAGUCGUCGGAAUUCUGUCGGCCAUUUCCGACGGAAUUCCGACGAAACAUGGCUCGUCGGAAUUUUCCGACGACUUUUCGACAACAUUCCGAUAAAAAAUUUAACCGUUGUCGUCAUCAGAAAUUCGUCGGAAUAUACCGACGAACCGACGAACUUCCGACGACAUUCCGAUUAACAGAUAUAACCGUUACAGUCGUCGGUAUUCCGUCGGAAUUUUCCGACGAAUUUCCGACAAACCAUGUGACCGUUGCCGACAAAUAUAUAUGACCGUUGUAUAGCCGUUUGAGAUUGGAAAAUACCGACGGUAUUCCGACGGACUGCCUUACAUCCGUCGGAGGGCCGUAAGCAAUUUCCUAUAAAUACAACCCCUCCUCAUUCAAAUCAUUCACACUUCAUUCUCUCUUCAUUCUCUUUAGUCAUAACAAUUCCGUGAAAAUCAUGUCUUCAGAAGUUUAUUAUCGUUCAUGGAUGGAUAAACCUCAUUUGUAUCUGAACACCAAUUUGCUUACGGAAGAAUACGUUCAAGGGAUUGGAGAAUUCAUGAGGCUUGUUCAACAGCAACCGGAUGCAAAAAUUGGUAUGUUAAGAUGUCCCUGCUCUACUUGCAAUAAUAAUAAGGUUAUAAAAGAAUUUGAUGUUUGGACUCAUUUGUAUAUGAAAGGGUUUUCACGUAAUUAUAAAGUUUGGUACCUUCAUGGGGAAACUGAUUAUGAAUAUGGUAGUACUAGCGAACCUCAGCUUGUUAGUGAACUUCAGCCUGAUAUUAGGUUAGAAGAAUCUAGAACGGAUAUAGAUUAUGGUGUAGGUACUGAGCAGAUGGUACAUGAUCAUUAUAGAGGAGAAGAACCAAAUCCCGAAUCUAGGAGAUUUUUUGACAUGUUGGAUGCAGGAAAACAACCUUUGUAUCAAAAUUGUAGAGAUGGUCAUUCAGCCUUAUCAUCUGCAACUAGAUUAAUGGGUAUUAAGACAGACUAUAAUUUGGCUGAAGAAUGUAUGGAUGCGAUUACUGAUUUUGUCAAAGGUAUUCUACCUGAGGAUAACCUUGCACCGGGUUCAUACUACGAGGUUCAGAAACUUGUUGCCGGUCUUCAACUACCGUACGAAGUGAUAGAUGUAUGUAUUGACAACUGCAUGAUCUACUGGAGAGCGGAUGAGACACGAAAUGUAUGCAAAUUUUGUGGGAAACCUCGUUAUCAGGAGACGAGGGGAAGAGUUCCGAUCCCGUUCAAAAGAAUGUGGUAUUUGCCUUUGACGGAAAGAUUGAAGAGGUUGUAUCAGUGUGAGCGCAUAGCAAAAGCAAUGAGUUGGCAUGCAGAGCAUUCCACAAAUGGUGAGAUUAGACAUCCUUCAGAUGCGAAGGCUUGGAAACAUUUCCAGUCAACAUAUCCAGAAUUUGCGGAAGAGAGAAUAAAUGUUUAUCUUGGAUUAUCUACUGAUGGUUUCAGCCCAUUUGGAAAGCAUGGAAGACAGUAUUCUCUAUGGCCAGUUAUUGUGACACCGUACAACUUACGGCCGAGCUUGUGCAUGCGACGAGAGUUUUUGUUUCUCUCAAUUCUCGUCCCCGAGCCAGAUCAUCCUAAAAGAUCACUAGAUGUGUUUCUUCAACCACUGAUAUAUGAGUUGCAACAACUAUGGGCGCAUGGUUUUGAGACAUACGAUGUUUCGUGCAAAGAAAACUUUCAGAUGCGGGCAGUACUUAUGUGGACAAUAAGUGACUUUCCAGCAUAUGGUAUGUUAUCUGGAUGGACAACACAUGGGAGGCUAUCAUGUCCAUAUUGUCAAGAUGACACAGAUGCUUUCCAACUAAAGAACGGAAGGAAAACGUGUUGGUUUGACUGUCACAGACGAUUACUACCACCUGAUCAUCCAUACUGCAAGAGUUAUGUGAGUCAUAUAUCAUAUUACCCUAUGCAAAUGAUUAGUUUAAAUUUAAUAUAAACUAAUUAACUUUUCAAUCAUAUAUGUUUUUAAUUUAUAGGUGAAUGAUGGUUUGGCCAGAGGUCUUGUGUUCGAUGAUUGGAUACGCGAAUUUGUGCAAGAACCAAACUAUGUGGUCAAAUCAUAUCCUAAAUUUUGUACGCGAGGAUAUGCAUUCACAAGGAAAUGUCAUUCUAAGACCACAUAUGAUGCUGGUGUUUCAUCUUCUUCCGGUGACGAUGUCUACUACGGCAACAUAAAAGAAAUAUUGGAAAUCUAAUUUCCUGGAAUGGUUGGAUUGCGUUGUGUAGUAUUCUAUUGUGAUUGGUAUGACACCACCCCAGAUAGAGGAGUGAAGAUUGAUGUGUUGGGUGUUACAUUAGUUCAUUCGCGGCGGAAACUUCAAUAUUAUGAUCCCUUCAUUCUUGGUUCGCAAGCUGAUCAGGUAUGUCAAUCUAUUAAUAAUUUUUUACCAAUAUAAUUAAUUAAUGUUAUAUAUUUUACUAAUACUUGUAUAAUUGAUAUGUAUAGGUGUGCUACAUCAGUUACCCUCGGGUGACGUACAGAGACGAUCCAUGGGUUACUGUAACGCAAAUCAACCCAAGAGGACGAGUGGAUGGAACUUCUGAUGAUGAUGAACCAUUGCAACCAGAGUCUACCAGCAACGCCCAGGCAGUUCAAGAUUUGGAGAAUGUUCAACUCGUUGAGAAUUUGACUGUGUUUGGACAUGAUGCUGUUGUACAUUCGGAGCCAGAAACCGAGGUUGGGGAGUUUGAUGAAGAUUCAGAAGAUUCUGAUUAGUUUUUUUUUUUUUUUUAUUGGUCCGUCGGAAAUCCCUCGCAAUAUACCGACGACAUAGCAACGACCAAGGGUUUCAUUGAAGUUUGGAAAGGUCGUCGGUAAUUCGUCGGUAUAUUCCGACGAAUUACCGACGAUGUGUGUUUCUAAAAAAUUUCAAUCAUAAAAAUCUAUAAAUUUAGAUGUCAAAACUAUGAAAAUAACACAUAAUAAGUGUUUAGUAUAGUAAUAGAUCGCAACCGUUCAAAUAUAACAACUCAUUAAAAUAUUUAUGUAUGCAUAUCAUUGUUUUCAUAACAUCUCAUCUUAACACUCAUAUACUUAUACAAUCAUAUUCAUAUUAUCUUACACUACAAAAAAUGUUGUUGUGUAAAAUCGUGCUAUAAAAACAUUUUUAUUAUUAAAUCUUUAUGCAAAUACUAUAUAUAUUAUCAAAGAUUUGGAUUUUGCAUUUAGAAACUUGUAAUCAACACCCUAAACACUAAGUCGUCGGAAUUCCGUCGGAAAAAGUCGUCAGUAUUCCGUCGGAAUAUACUGACGGACACAUUCCGUCGGAAUUCCAAUUUGCCCGGGAGAACCAAACCGCGUGAAAAUUUUCGCGAAUCGCCAAUUGGUAUAUUUUUAAUUAUACCGACGGAAUACUGACGAACUCGUGUCCGUCGGAAACUUUAGAUAUAAUAACCCUUCUUUUUCCUUCUUCGUUAUUUCCGCCUCUCUCUCUCAAACAUCCUCUCUCUCACGGCGAUUUCUCUCUCUCUCUCUCACGGCGAUUUCUCUCUCUCUCACGGCGAUUCCGGUCCUUAUGAACCUCCCAUCACCGGCGAAUCCUCUUCUCACCCUCAUAUCUCUUCCCCAAACCCCAAAUCAUGUAAGAAUCAUCCUAAACCUUGUUUUAUCUCAAUUGUUUAGGGUUUUGGAAGUUAGAUCUCGGAUUUUAGGUUGUUUGAUUGAAAAUUUUAGGAUUGAAUGGAUAGUUUAGGAUAUAUAAGUUAGGAUUGUUGUUUGGAUUGUUGUUUUAGUUUUUUUUGGAAUUCUUAUUUUUUUUUUGUUAAAAUUCAAAAUGUUUUACUAUUUUUAAAACGUUUUUUGAUUUUUAAAUACGUUUUUCAAGUUUCCAAUAAUAAAAUAUGUAAAAUAAAACGUUUUUAAAAUUUUUUAAAAAUAUUUAACAACAUUUUUCUAUAUUUAUAAAUUUUUUAUAAUUUUGUAUACAUAUAUAUAUAUAUAAAUCAUGUAUAAUAAAAAUUUUAAAAUUUUUUAUAAGUUUCCAGUAAUAAACUAUGUAUAAUAAAACGUUUUUAAUUUUUUUUUUAAUAUUUAACAACAUUUUUCUACAUUUAUAAAUUUUUUAUAAUUGUGUAUACAUAUAUAUAUAUAUAUAUAAAUCAUGUAUAAUAAAAAAUUUUAAAAUUUUAAUUAUUUUUUAUAAGUUUUCAGUAAUAAACUAUGUAUAAUAAAAGGUUUAAUAGUUUUUUUUAAAACGUUUAUAAAACUUUUUGUAAAUAUAUAAAUGAAAACAUUAAAAAUAGAAAUGAUUUGAAAAGAAUUUUGAUGUAUUAAUUUUUUUUUAGGUCCGAGGAUGAACCCUGCCCCGCAGCCCGUCUUCGACGUAGUUCGGUGAGCAGUUCCCGUGCAUCGGGAUCGUCUCAUGAACAAAACUCGGUUCCCGCAUAUAUUCCCGCUCCAGCUCCCGUUGCCCCUCCCGCUGCUGCUCAACAGGAUCCGGGGGUCAUGCCAGUUGAACUAUUGGUUCAACAACCAGGUUGAGAGCAUCUCCCGGUUCUCCAACCCAACCCACGACGAGGACAUAGCACUUGGUUAGUAUUUUUUUUAUUUCUAGCAUUAUGUUUUUUUCCAUUAAUUAACUUGCUAACUUGUAUUUUUUUUUUAAGGUUCACCAAGUCGAAAAAUGGCAUUAGCAGGAGCAUCAACCAGAUGAUGUACUCCAUGCUCCGUUUUGGAUAUUCAAAGUGGAGUGUGAUCCCUUCCGACGAACGAGAGUUGUGGUUUCGUCAGUUUGCGGUAUAGUAACUCUUCAUUUUUUUAAAGUUUUUACAUUUUUUAAAAUAUAUUUACUUAUUAAAUUAUGUUUGUUUUGUAUCAAGAGUUCAACUGGCACUCCGAUCUCACAGAAACAGUCCGUAAGAAAUUCAACGAAAAGGCCAUGGACUCUUAGACGAAGCAGAUAAACGCGUGGAAGACAGUUUAGCAGAAGAACAAGAGGCCACGGUUCAUCAACGGGACGGUGUGGGAGCAGUUGAUAGCUCAUUGGAGAAGGAAGAAACUGCAGAGACGUCUUCUAGGAACUCCAAGAACCGGAAGAGUGAUCGUGGCGGGAAAGGUAUGUAUGUGCACAACCUCGGCGCUUGCUCUAUGUCUACUAAGGAGGAUGAACUUGUAUGUUUUUUAUUAUUAUUUAUCUUUAUAUUUUUUAAAUAAAUAUUUUAUAUAUUCUGUGGCUAAUAAUGGCGGUUUUUUUAGAUCGAAGCAAAUGACGGUAAUCCCGUUGAUCGUCUCCAACUCAUUAAGGUAGCUCACACUAACAAGACGACGGGUCAAAUUCAGGACCCCGUGAUCAAAUGUGUCGUUGAUUUGGUGGAAGCUGAAAUAGCAAAUCAAUCUCAGCCUCUCUCUGAUGACGGUGAUUCUACGGGAGCUUCAACCAACUUGUCUCUAUUGCAAAUAAAUGAGAUGGUUGAAAAGGUAAUUUUUUUUAUAAUGUCGAUUACUAACUUGUCCAUAUUUACUAACUUAAAAUAUUUUUGUAGGCGGUUCCUAAAAGGAAAAGAGGUCGUUUAGUUGGGUUGGCCCGCCGUGCUUCUUCGUAUCUGGCAUCUUCUUCGCAAGCUCCGUAUGCCGAUUCCAUGAUUCUCGAGGAGCUACAUGACAAAGAUGAACGGAUUGGGGCAUUGGAGGAGCAGAACACCACUAUCCUUUCUGAGAAUGCCACUAUCCGUUCGGAGAAUGCCACUAUCAUUGCUGAGUUGGCAUCUCAGAAGAAGUUCAACACCGAGAUAAUGCAGAAGCUAAAUCGUUUGAUGUCUUCCAGUUCUUCUUAGUUUUUUCUGCUUUUUAAAACUUUCUGAAUGUUUUUUUUUUCUAUUUCGGUUAGUAUGAAUUUUAAACUUUCUGAAUGUUUUUUUCUAUUUCGGUUUGUAUGAAUUUAAAUUUUAUAAUAUUAUUAGUUUUAAAUUUCAGAUUUUUUUUAUUAAUUAAUUUUUAAUACAAAAAAAUAUAAAAAAAUGCAAAAUUAAUUCGUUUUUAAAAUUGGUAUAUUCCGACGAAUUCUGGGCGUCGGAAUAUACCGACGGACAACGGUUCCUCGGACAAUACCGACGGAGAGCAUUCCUCGAAAAAUACCGACGAACCAAUGUCUGUCGGUAUAUUCCGACGCCCAGAAUUCGUCGGAAUAUACCGAGGAAUCCACUCCGUCGGAAUUGUCCGAGGAACGUUCUCCGUCGGUAUAUAGUUUUUCCGAUGAACUCUGGUCUCGUGUGUCCGCAUCGUAAUAUCGUCGGAAGGUCGUCAGAAUGACGUUUUUUGGUAUUCGUCAGAAAGUCGUCGGAAGUUCUGACGAAAUUCCGACGAAUUUUUUUUUCCGACGAAACGAUACCGACGGAUUGGUUCGUCAGAAAUUCGUCGGAAUCGGUCUAUUCCGACGAAUUUCUGACGAUUUCGGCCAUCAGAAUCCCCAUGUUUUCUUGUAGUGAAAUCCAUAAGAUGAUUGUUUUGUUUUGUGAUAUGAUUUGUUUUAAGGUUUGAUUCUCUCUUUACAAUCUCCGUACCGGUUUACAAGGAUUGUUGAUUUGAUUCCUAACCGUCUCCGGUUUGUUUUUUUUUGUUCUCUAGAACGGUUCACGAGCAGCCAAGGCCUUGUCAAGAGUCAGAUGCUUACUACUAGGACUCGAUUUCAAAACCUACAUCCUCUUCUUCACCCUCGUCCCCUUACUCAUCUUCGGAGCCUACCUCCACGGCCAGAAGUUCACCUACUUCUUGAGACCCCUCUGGCAAUCACCUCCCAAACCCUUCCAAACCAUCCCCCACUACCACCACGUCAACGUCUCCAUGCAAACCCUCUGCGCCCUCCACG